AUUGAACGCUGGCGGCAGGCCUAACACAUGCAAGUCGAACGGUAACAGGAAGAAGCUUGCUUCUUUGCUGACGAGUGGCGGACGGGUGAGUAAUGUCUGGGAAACUGCCUGAUGGAGGGGGAUAACUACUGGAAACGGUAGCUAAUACCGCAUAACGUCGCAAGACCAAAAAGGGGGACCUUCGGGCCUCUUUCCAUCGGAUUUGACCAGGUGGGAUUAGCUAGUAGGUGGGGUAACGGCUUACCAAGGCGACGAUCCCUAGCUGGUCUGAGAGGAUGACCAGCCACACUGGAACUGAGACACGGUCCAGACUCCUACGGGAGGCAGCAGUGGGGAAUAUUGCACAAUGGGCGCAAGCCUGAUGCAGCCAUGCCGCGUGUAUGAAGAAGGCCUUCGGGUUGUAAAGUACUUUCAGCGGGGAGGAAGGGAGUAAAGUGAAUACGUUCGCUCAUUGACGUUACCCGCAGAAGAAGCACCGGCUAACUACGUG
rnacentral:rRNA from 1 species